rnacentral:rRNA from 1 species
CAGUCGCCACGGUAAUACGUAGGGUGCAAGCGUUAAUCGGAAUUACUGGGCGUAAAGCGUGCGCAGGCGGUUAUAUAAGACAGAUGUGAAAUCCCCGGGCUCAACCUGGGAACUGCAUUUGUGACUGUAUAGCUAGAGUACGGCAGAGGGGGAUGGAAUUCCGCGUGUAGCAGUGAAAUGCGUAGAUAUGCGGAGGAACACCGAUGGCGAAGUCAAUCCCCUGGGCCUGUACUGACGCUCAUGCACGAAAGCGUGGGGAGCAAACAGGAUUAGAUACCCGCGUAGUCCCUGUCUCUUAUAC